rnacentral:tRNA from 1 species
GGCCCGUUCGUCUAUCGGCUUAGGACGCCAGCCUCUCACGCUGGAAAGAGGAGUUCGAUUCUCCUACGGGCUGCCA